AAUAAACCAUUAAUGUGAUCCAACCAAGAACCUGAAUAACAAUCUGAGUCCAUCAAAUUCCUUUGCUCAGCUGUUUAGAAAGCUCUCUUGUCAUGGAGAGAAUUCUGUUCCACCAGGAUGAUGUUAGGACCCAAAUGAUGGAAGAAACAUGAGGAGAACUGUUGUAUUUUUGGUUUAGAUGAAUUAACAAACUAUAGAGCAAAGAGACCAGAGUUUUAGUCUUACAGGACAAGUCAAUUGUGUGCAACUGUAAAUCUGCAAAAACUUGAGGAGAAUGCAUUCUUAGUGGUAUAUUGAGUUUAGUGUCUUGUGCUUCAUUAUUGUAGAUCUACUCCGAUGAUAUAAAGGAUUGUAGAUCGUUUUAGUAAUUGUUGAGAGUUGAGUUUGUGGCUAGAGUUAGUCGAGUUGUGUUUGUUGAAGUCUAUGUUAGCUAGAGGUAGUUGAUAUAGUGGACAAUAGUGUUAUUGCUUUGAGUCUUGUAAUAAAGGAGCUACAAGGUGUGUAGGAUUACAAGUUCAAUCCUUGGUAAAUACUCGAGUAUGUAUUUACGAGUUGCUUGAAGAUAUUGGAGCUUUGAGAAAUCUUGUGUCACAGGUCGUGGUUUUUUCCUCCCUUGAGCAAGGAGGUUUCCACGUAAACAUCCAUACAGUUCCUUACUUUAAGCAUUUACUUUUAC
rnacentral:lncRNA from 1 species